ACCGGGAUUGCCCUAGUAACGGCGAGUGAAGCGGCAACAGCUCAAAUUUGAAAUCUGGCUCUUUUAGAGUCCGAGUUGUAAUUUGCAGAGGGCGCUUUGGCUUUGGCAGCGGUCCAAGUUCCUUGGAACAGGACGUCACAGAGGGUGAGAAUCCCGUACGUGGUCGCUGGCUAUUGCCGUGUAAAGCCCCUUCGACGAGUCGAGUUGUUUGGGAAUGCAGCUCUAAAUGGGAGGUACAUUUCUUCUAAAGCUAAAUAUUGGCCAGAGACCGAUAGCGCACAAGUAGAGUGAUCGAAAGAUGAAAAGCACUUUGGAAAGAGAGUCAAACAGCACGUGAAAUUGUUGAAAGGGAAGCGCUUGCAGCCAGACUUGCUUGCAGUUGCUCAUCCGGGCUUUUGCCCGGUGCACUCUUCUGCAGGCAGGCCAGCAUCAGUUUGGGCGGUAGGAUAAAGGUCUCUGUCACGUACCUCUCUUCGGGGAGGCCUUAUAGGGGAGACGACAUACUACCAGCCUGGACUGAGGUCCGCGCAUCUGCUAGGAUGCUGGCGUAAUGGCUGUAAGCGGCCCGUCUUGAAACACGGACCAAGGAGUCUAACAUCUAUGCGAGUGUUUGGGUGUCAAGCCCGAGCGCGUAAUGAAAGUGAACGGAGGUAGGAACCCGCAAGGGUGCACUAUCGACCGAUCCUGAUGUCUUCGGAAGGAUUUGAGUAAGAGCAUGGCUGUUGGGACCCGAAAGAUGGUGAACUAUGCUUGAAUAGGGUGAAGCCAGAGGAAACUCUGGUGGAGGCUCGCAGCGGUUCUGACGUGCAAAUCGAUCGUCAAAUUUGGGCAUAGGGGCGAAAGACUAAU
rnacentral:rRNA from 1 species